rnacentral:rRNA from 1 species
GAUGAACGCUGGCGGCGUGCUUAACACAUGCAAGUCGAACGGAAAGGCCCAAGCUUGCUUGGGUACUCGAGUGGCGAACGGGUGAGUAACACGUGGGUGAUCUGCCCUGCACUUCGGGAUAAGCCUGGGAAACUGGGUCUAAUACCGGAUAGGACGAUGGUUUGGAUGCCAUUGUGGAAAGUUUUUUCGGUGUGGGAUGAGCUCGCGGCCUAUCAGCUUGUUGGUGGGGUAAUGGCCUACCAAGGCGUCGACGGGUAGCCGGCCUGAGAGGGUGUACGGCCACAUUGGGACUGAGAUACGGCCCAGACUCCUACGGGAGGCAGCAGUGGGGAAUAUUGCACAAUGGGCGCAAGCCUGAUGCAGCGACGCCGCGUGGGGGAUGACGGCCUUCGGGUUGUAAACUCCUUUCGCUAGGGACGAAGCGUAUUUGUGACGGUACCUGGAGAAGAAGCACCGGCUAACUACGUG